UACAGAGGCCCCAAGCGUUACUGAGAAUCACUGGGUUUAAAGGGUGCGUAGGUGGCGCGUUAAGUCCGUUGUGAAAUCCCUGGGCUCAACCCAGGAAAUGCUUCGGAUACUGGCGUGCUUGAGGCUAGUAGGGGUCACUGGAACUGACGGUGGAGCGGUGAAAUGCGUAGAUAUCGUCAGGAACGCCAAUGGUGAGGACAGGUGACUGGGCUAGAUCUGACACUGAGGCACGAAAGCGUGGGGAGCGAACAGG
rnacentral:rRNA from 1 species